UACAGAGGGUGCAAGCGUUAAUCGGAAUUACUGGGCGUAAAGCGCGCGUAGGUGGUUUGUUAAGUUGGAUGUGAAAGCCCCGGGCUCAACCUGGGAACUGCAUCCAAAACUGGCAAGCUAGAGUACGGUAGAGGGUGGUGGAAUUUCCUGUGUAGCGGUGAAAUGCGUAGAUAUCGAGAGGAACACCAGUGGCGAAGGCGAGUCCCUGGACAACACCUGACACUGAGGCACGAAAGCUAGGGGAGCAAACAGG
rnacentral:rRNA from 1 species